UGAGUUUGGCACUGAUUGACUGGAGAAUGCUGAAACCCAGGGAAGUGGGCAGCACAGACGUUUACUCAUUUAAUCCUGCCAACACAGUAGGAGAUAGAGUCUACAUAUUCCUCGCUACUUAAAAGAACUCGGAGAGGAUCGCUGGCCCUCCUGCGCAUGCGCAGUCAUUGCCAGCUGGAUCGAGGGUUGGAAGCUCCAGCUCCGAGCCGGGGAUCGGCCCCAAAGCUGCUCAGCUCUUUCGCCUGAUUCUCCUGGUGGAGUCGGGAAAGGGGAGCGUCAGUGCUGAGCGAGCUUCCGUCUCCUCCCUCAGUGUUUCUGCCCCAGUGAGAGGGCUCAGUAGUGCUUUGCCAGCAUGAUUUUGGGGCAAUUUGGGGGCAGAUAUCGUGCACAAGCAGUGAGAUAUUUCCAUGCAUUUUACUUUCCGGACAUCACCAUGGAACAUGUGGGGGUUUGUGCCUGCAGGCCGGGAUGCUGCAGGACUCCCUGGUCCAUCACCGUUAUGUCUUGGAGCUGCUCCAGUCAGUGAAUGACUUUCUGUGGCUUGGAGUGUAAGAAUUCUGGUGACUGUUAGAAGCAUGCUUCCAAGCUGUCCGUGUCCUCGGCAUCCAGAAGCGGAGCCUGGAAGCUACUGAAUUUCUCCAGAAUGCGUUCUACAUUCACCUUCGGCAGAUACUCAGCACUCCCUGCACCAUUUGUUGAAUAGACUAUUCUUUCAAUGGAGUGUUGUUGGCACCCUUGUGGAAAACUGACUGUAAAUGUAAGUUUUUUCCCCCUGGGUUUUUAUUAUGUCUCAUAGAUUUAUUUAUCCAAACUUAUGCCAGUACCAUACUGACUUAGUACUAUAGCUUUUUAGUACCCUUUAAAGUGAGUCCUCCAACUUUGCUCUGCUUUUUCAAGAUUGUUUUGGCUGACCUGGGCCCCUUGCACUUCCAUAUGAAUUUUGGGAUCACUUUUUCAAUUUUUGCAAAGAAGUCAGCUGGAAUAUUGAUAAGGAUUCCACUGAAUUUGUAACUCACUUUGGGGAGUCUUAACAUUUUUAACAAUAUUGUCUACCAUUCCAUGAACAUGGGAUGUGUUC